rnacentral:rRNA from 1 species
AGCAGCCGCGGUAAUUCCAGCUCCAAUAGCGUAUAUUAAAGUUGUUGCAGUUAAAAAGCUCGUAGUUGAAUUUCGGGGUUUAUCAGUUGGUCGGGCUUCAUUGUCCGUACUGAUUUGAUGGAUUCCUACCUUCUGAAUAACUAGCAUGCUAUUAAGUUAGUGCGUUAGGGAAGCAGAUCUAUUACCUUGAAAAAUUAGAGUGCUUAAAGCAAGCUAUUGCUUGAAUAGAUUAGCAUGGAAUAAUAAAAUAGGACGGCAUGGUUCUAUUUUGUUGGUUUCUAGGAUCACCGUAAUGAUUAAUAGGGAUAGUUGGGGGCAUUAGUAUUCAAUUGUCAGAGGUGAAAUUCUUGGAUUUAUUGAAGACUAAACUUCUGCGAAAGCAUUUGCCAAGGAUGUUUUCAUUAAUCAAGAACGAAAGUUAGGGGAUCGAAGACGAUCAGAUACCGUCGUAGUCUUAACCAUAAACUAUGCCGACUAGGAAUCGGACAUGUUAAUUUUAAUGUACUCGUUCGCACCUUAA